rnacentral:rRNA from 1 species
CCUACGGGGGGCUACAGUGGGGAAUAUUGGACAAUGGGGGCAACCCUGAUCCAGCCAUGCCGCGUGUGUGAAGAAGGCCCUCGGGUUGUAAAGCACUUUCAGUGAGGAAGAACGCCUGGUGGUUAAUACCCAUCAGGAAAGACAUCACUCACAGAAGAAGCACCGGCUAACUCCGUGCCAGCAGCCGCGGUAAUACGGAGGGUGCGAGCGUUAAUCGGAAUUACUGGGCGUAAAGCGCGCGUAGGUGGCUUGAUAAGCCGGUUGUGAAAGCCCCGGGCUCAACCUGGGAACGGCAUCCGGAACUGUCAAGCUAGAGUGCAGGAGAGGAAGGUAGAAUUCCCGGUGUAGCGGUGAAAUGCGUAGAGAUCGGGAGGAAUACCAGUGGCGAAGGCGGCCUUCUGGACUGACACUGACACUGAGGUGCGAAAGCGUGGGUAGCAAACAGGAUUAGAUACCCUAGUAGUC